rnacentral:rRNA from 1 species
CCUACGGGAGGCAGCAGUGGGGAAUAUUGGGCAAUGGGCGCAAGCCUGACCCAGCAACGCCGCGUGAAGGAAGAAGGCUUUCGGGUUGUAAACUUCUUUUAAGGGGGAAGAGCAGAAGACGGUACCCCUUGAAUAAGCCACGGCUAACUACGUGCCAGCAGCCGCGGUAAUACGUAGGUGGCAAGCGUUGUCCGGAUUUACUGGGUGUAAAGGGCGUGCAGCCGGAGAGACAAGUCAGAUGUGAAAUCCACGGGCUCAACCCGUGAACUGCAUUUGACACUGGUUGCCUUGAGUGUCGGAGAGGUAAUCGGAAUUCCAGGUGUAGCGGUGAAAUGCGUAGAUAUAAGGAAGAACACCAGUGGCGAAGGCGGAUUACUGGACGAUAACUGACGGUGAGGCGCGAAAGCGUGGGGAGCAAACAGGAUUAGAUACCCGUGUAGUC